UACGUAGGGAGCAAGCGUUGUCCGGAAUCAUUGGGCGUAAAGCGCGCGUAGGCGGCCCUGUAAGUCCGCUGUGAAAGUCAAAGGCUCAACCUUUGAAUGCCGGUGGAUACUGCAGGGCUAGAGUCCGGAAGAGGCGGGUGGAAUUCCAGGUGUAGCGGUGAAAUGCGUAGAUAUCUGGAGGAAUACCGGUGGCGAAGGCGGCAUCCUGGACCAUUACUGACGCUGAGGCGCGAAGCUAGGGAGCAACGGG
rnacentral:rRNA from 1 species